UUAUUACUACUGACCCAACCCAACCCAACCCAAAAAACAUAGCGCUCACAAUUUCCUCUCUUUUAUCCGGCUGCCACUGUUAAUCUCAAUUUAACUUAUUAAUUUUUUAUUUAUGUUUACGGUCUAUCUCUCUCUGCCCCUCACUCUGUCCCUACUAGCCGACCCUCAAGUCCAGUCCGCCAUAAACAGAGUUGCUUGCUGCUGUACACAGAGAAAGAGUUUGUGUGUUUUCUAAUGGAUAAAAGCUGUCAUUCUUCAGCUGACAACAUUACCUCCUCCACCACUACCAAUAGUAGAGAUCAUUAUCUCAAGCAGCUUAAUAAGCUUUCUCACAAGAUUUCUAAACCCCCCGCCGCCGCCGCCGCCUCCGCCUCUGUUAGUACUAAUAAUCCCAUCAUCAAGAAACCCACUUCCACUUUUGACCAGAAUCAAAAUCAACCCCCUCAGCCGCAACCCCAACAUCAGCCACCGGUCUACAAUAUCAACAAGAACGAUUUCAGAGCUGUGGUACAGAAACUUACUGGGUCGCCCAAUCACGAGCGGUUUUCAACUCCUCCACCUAUACACCAACCUAAGCCUCCCAGUUCUCGUCUCCAGCGCAUCCGUCCUCCGCCCCUCGCGCACGUUAGCAACCGUCCCCCUCCCAUGCUACCAUGCGCACCCAGUAAUACCAACUUCAUCCCGCGGUCCACGGCUCCUUUAUCGCCUCUUCCUCCUCUUCCGGCUGUGCACGCUGCGGCUGAAUCUCCAGUUUCGGCCUACAUGCGGUACCUAAAGAAUUCAAUAUCGACAACCGAUCCGAAUGCCAAGCCACAAUUCUCGGGAUUCUCUCCCCUGGCUCCGUUAGUUUCGCCCCGAUGGAACAACUUAACUGAUACAUCUCAACAGCAGGGGGUCACUGCCCCGCCGACAGCACAGCAACAGAUGCUACAAUCAGAGUCACAGCCCCAACCACAGCCACAGCCACAGCCACAGCCGCAGCCUCAGUUUCAACUUCCGACUUCACCGCUGCCAUUCGGUUGCUUAAAUUCACCGCGGUCACCUUACCCUUUACUUUCUCCCAGUCUGUUGUUCUCACCCACGUCGGGCCAGUUAAAUUUUCCGCUUUCGCCGACAGUGCCGAUUCCUAGUCCUACAUGGAGAGGGCUUUGAGGGUUUGAAAGAAUUUUUCAACUUUGUAGCAUGUUCUGAUUAAGAGGAGAAUAUGGACUUUAUAAGUGGUAAUCUUCUGGGAGAUUUCAGAAAGAGACUACUUGGUUGAAUGGUUCGACUUCAUAUGGCAAAUGUCUAACUGAUUUAGCUAUGUGGGAUGGAGAAAAGGUGUUUAUCAUGAAGAGUUUAGUUGUUAUUUUAACUCUCUGGGGCAAGCUUCAUCAUUGAUUGUUCAGUAUACUUGUUUUCAUGAUAGUCAAAUGGGGUUCAAUUGGGAGAUUUGGGCAUAGAUGGCAAUAAUUUUCUAUGGCAGGUGAAAUCUUUGCUCUGAAAUAAUAUAACUUCUAAGGUGCAUGUAAGAUUUGAGAAGAUAUGUAUUUUUGGCAAUAAAAUGCUUGUAAAAUAGUAAUAAUUGUUCAAGUUGAAUUCUGAGAUCUCCUAAAAAUAUAAAUUUAGUUGUAGACGAGUAUAUUUUGA